rnacentral:rRNA from 1 species
UACGUAGGGGGCGAGCGUUGUCCGGAUUCAUUGGGCGUAAAGCGCUUUAAGGCGGUUCGCUAAGUCGCGUGUGAAACCUCCAGGCUCAACCUGGAGACGCCACGCGAUACUGGCGUGACUAGAGUUCGGUAGGGGAUCACGGAAUUCCUGGUGUAGCGGUGAAAUGCGCAGAUAUCAGGAGGAACACCAGUGGCGAAGGCGGUGAUCUGGGCCGAUACUGACGCUGUAGAGCGAAAGCGUGGGGAGCGAACAGG